GGCUACCUAGCGCAAUGGUAGCGCGUUUGGCUUCGAUUGCCGCGCGCUUAUUAGUGAACCAAAAGGUUGCAGGUUCGAGUCCUGCGGUGGUCA